UUGGUAUGUCAGUUCGGAUUCAAACCGUCAGUAUAAAAAUAGGAAUAGGGAUGGAUUAACAAUCAGAUUACGGUAUAACAUCGCAAGCUAUCGACAAAUGCAGCUCAUUCAAUAAUGUGCCUACCAUACUAGAGUUACUUAAAUUUUUUCUGUACGAAUAUAUUUGUGGAAUACAUUAUUUUUUUCUCAAUGUAUACAAAAUAAGGAAAGGAAUGUAAAAACGUAUAUCAAAUACUAAUCUAGCGUUGUUACGGUAUCGUUAGGGUUUUGCAAUUGGGACAACUUUAAUCUA